AUCCAGCUGAUGAAUCGCAAACAGAACGAAAUGUGCAUCCUGGUGGAU
rnacentral:hammerhead_ribozyme from 1 species